rnacentral:rRNA from 1 species
UACGUAGGGUGCGAGCGUUAAUCGGAAUUACUGGGCGUAAAGCGUGCGUAGGCGGUUCGCUGUGUCCGAUGUGAAAGCCCCGGGCUUAACCUGGGAAUGGCAUUGGAAACUGGCGGGCUUGAGUGUGGCAGAGGGGGGUGGAAUUCCGCGUGUAGCAGUGAAAUGCGUAGAGAUGCGGAGGAACACCGAUGGCGAAGGCAGCCCCCUGGGUCGACACUGACGCUCAGGCACGAAAGCGUGGGGAGCAAACAGG